rnacentral:rRNA from 1 species
GCGAUGGGAUGCGAAUCUCGAAAGCCUGUCUCAGUUCGGAUUGGAGGCUGAAACCCGCCUCCAUGAAGUUGGAUUCGCUAGUAAUCGCGCAUCAGCCAUGGCGCGGUGAAUACGUUCCCGGGCCUUGUACACACCGCCCGUCAAGCCAUGGAAGCUGGGGGUGCCUGAAGUUCGUGACCGGAAGGAGCGACCUAGGGCAAAACCGGUGACUGGGGCUAAGUCGUAACAAGGUACC